CCCACCCCCUCUUGUUUGAAAACUUGUUAACAGUCAAGAUCCCCACCCCUAAACCAUAUGUAUUCUUGUUUGGAAGCAUAAAACACAUCAAAUGAAAUAUAGGGAGAGUCCAUAGGGGUCACCCCCAUCCCCUUCAAUUUGAGAAUAUGCUAUUAUCUUGUAAACGGUCCAGAUUCCCACCCCUAAACCAUAUAUAUUCUUGAAUGGGACGAUAAAACAAAUCAAAUGAAAUUAAAGGGAAGUCCCUGGGGGUCACCCCCACCCUGUUCACUUUGAGAAUGUGCUAUUAUCUUUUUAAAUGGUUCAGAUCUCCACCCCUAAACCAUAUAUAUUCUUGUAGGGGACAAUAAAACAAAUGAAAUUAAAUAAAAGAGAAGUCCUUAGGGGGUCACCCCAACCCCUCUUCUUUUAAAACUUGUUAACGGUCAAGAUCCCCACCCCUAAACCAUAUCUAUUCUUGUACAGAAGAAUAAAACACAUCAAAUGAAAUAUAGGGAGAGUCCAUGGGUGUCACCCCACCCCACAUGUAUGAAAAACUUUUAAAUGGUUAAGAUCCCCACCCCUAAACCAUAUAUAUUCUUGUAUGGCACAAUAAAACAAAUCAAAGUCCCUGGUGGUCACCACCACCCUCUCCUGUUUGAAUACUUGUAAAUGGAUGGGACCAUAGGAAUGGCAAAAAUAUAGGAGCUUUGUUUGGGAGACUUCGUAACAGCAUCCUGUUACAAUUACUUCUUGUU
rnacentral:lncRNA from 1 species